UGCGUAGGCGGAUUUGUAAGUCAGUGGUGAAACCCCCGAGCUUAACUCGGGAACUGCCAUUGAUACUGCUAAUCUUGAGUACAGUUGAGGUGGGCGGAAUGUGUCAUGUAGCGGUGAAAUGCUUAGAUAUGACACAGAACACCAAUUGCGAAGGCAGCUCGCUAAACUGUAACUGACGCUGAGGCACGAAAGCGUGGGGAGCGAACAGGAUUAGAUACCCUGGUAGUCC
rnacentral:rRNA from 1 species